CCACUUCAUAUUCUUCUCACCCAGCACACUCCUUGAAAAAUAGUUAUUGUUUGAUAAACAAUUUGAUUGAUGAAUGAAGGAAAAACUAAAAAGAGGGAUUUUCUUUAAGCUAAGGAAAAUAUCAGGCCAUAGUCAGACAGCAUCUGCCAUGCACCCGUGGAUGCCUGCUACAGGGUGUGGAACCAAGGGACCGAGCAUUUUCUUGCAGUUGUGCGUCAGUGGAGGGUUGUGGAUGAUCAGUGUAUUAAAGUCUGUGUUUGCUUCCUUCAGCAAAAAAAGUUCACCAUCACAAGCAGUGUCACUGGGAAGAAGCACACAUUUGUCACAGAUUCAGCCAAGACCAGUAAAUACUUACUGGACCUCUGCUCAGCCCAGCAUGGGUUUAAUGCACAGAUGGGCUCUGGGCAGCCUUCCCAUGUUUUAUUUGAACACAGUCACAUGGCCCCCAAGACAACUGCAAGACGGGUUGGAAAGGGAGGACUUCCUGUGUGCCCAGGAAGAGGAAGUAGUGUAACGAUACACCAUGGUCCUUGCCAUAACGGCUGCAGCCGUCUGCUGUAUCACUCUUAAUUGAGAGUUUGGUAUUAAACUCAUAGCAGGACCAGA
rnacentral:lncRNA from 1 species